GGCACAAGCUACACAAAGAACAAACUAAAUUCCCAACUCAAACAAAUCAUAUAAUUAAAUCCAACAAAGAAGCACAAAUAAGAGCAUAUUCAAUCUAUAAAUUACAGUAUAUAAACAAAUAGUUUUUGGCAGAAACCUACAACCUAAACAAAAAUAAAACAACUUAAGUAUUCCCUUUUCUAUAUAACUAUCCACAUAUGCCCAAGAAAUGUAUC
rnacentral:lncRNA from 1 species